rnacentral:tRNA from 1 species
GCGGGUGUAGCUCAGUGGCCAACGUGAAUGUCGUGGGUUCGAAUCCCAUCACCCGCUCCA